rnacentral:lncRNA from 1 species
UUUUUUUUUUUUUUUUGGCUGCCCCACGGCAUAUGGAAUUCCUGGGCCGGGGAUCAGAUCCAAGCCACAGUCACAACCUAAGCCAAAGCUGCAGCAACACCAGAUUCUUAACCCACUGUACUGGGACAGAGAGCAAACCUGUGUCAAGACACACAAAAUGCUGCCAAUCCCAUUGUGCCACAGAGGGAGCUCCAGGAAUUCUUUUUCACCUGUGAACUGCUGAGAAAAGUUCAUUUUUACAUGAUUAAAAGUUCAUUUUUCCACCUCUUCUGUGACAUCCCAGAGAGCCAUGUUGUCCUGAAAAAAAUAACAGAUCUAAUUUCGAAUCCUGGUGCCUAUAACUCGACCUCCACUGAACUCACAUUUCCUUGGCUAUAAUCUCUACCUCAGAGGGUUAUAAGCUUCAACUGAGAUAUUCUCCAAGAAGAGCCUGACACAGGAGAUGGGAUCUGGGAAGUCCCCCAAGGAUACAAGCUAUUGCCCCCUCUCUCCUGUCCCUGGGCUACCACAGCACAUGAAUCUAUUGACUACAGCCAAGGUUAUGUGGUGUUCCCAUGCCAACCCUCCUGACCCUGACCUCUUCAAUAGGAAAGCCUACAGCUCAGCACCACCAGUGGGCACUCAGUACCUAUUUAUUUAAUUCAGGAAGACUGGACCCAGAUCAGCAUCCAACUCUAGGACUCAGGAUGUUGAGUUAGCAUCACUGAGUACCAGCAGGAUGGCACUCUCAAGAAAAAGAGUACCAUCUCUAGUACCAUCAGCUGUAAAUAGUUUAUAAUCUCGAGGAUCAACUCCUUUGGGGAAUAAUGUAAAGAAUUCCAUGUGGGAUACACUGACGUUUAAAGAGAAGAAGGAAGACACAGAGCAGGUAGUUGGGGCCGUGCCUGGGCGAAGCCCACACUUAAGUAACAGGGAAAGAAUAAGAGGUAGCAGCAAAGGAAAGGAGAGGGGGACAUCAGGACAAAGCAGUGACAGAGAAACAAAAAAGAAAGGAAUUCCAGGAAGAAAGCAGAGGGUCCAUGGCGCUGAAUAUCAAAGAGAGGUUCUUAGAUUUAUACCCCAAGAAAACUAGCUUUGGGGUUUUGGUUAAGGAGAAGACCAUUUCAACAGAGAGUGAAAACCAGAGACUGCAAGGGGUUAAAAAUGAGGGAAAAUCUCCGAAGAAACUAAAUUAAGUCUAGCAUCUGUAUAUGAAUAAAUGUACAGAAUUUUCAAGUCCUGAUAUUUGAUAGCAGCAGCAGAAGCCAAGGCAAGACAAGUGGGUCCUGCUUCCCACUUGUCAGGACUCUGCCACACCACGCUGGAAGGCCCUUUUCUGUGAACACUGAGUUCCCCCACUACAGCUACACGACUCAUCCAGACAUCAGCCAGCUGCCUCAUUCAACUAAAGGCUGAGAUUCCGAUGGAUUCCUGACUUGCAUCAUUGACAAUUUCAUCACUUAUGAGACUGAGGGAGAAGCCAGGGGAAUAGCUUUUCCUCAAUUAAUUUUAAUCAACAGUCAGUCCUGAAUGAUGGAAAGGAUGUAAUAAAAACUUUUGGGGGAAAGUGAUGAAAUCGUCUUGUAAUAGUCCAGGAAGAGAAAGCUGGUCAUAGUCAGAUAUGGCUCACAGGAUGCAGGAGGGUGGAUUUUCAUGUUUGAUUCCCCACCCCUCCAUCCCCAAGGCAUGGGGUUCCUAAAUGGGAAAAACAGGGUCCUAAAUCCAGCUCUGAUUGUUUAGGGUCUUUUUAAUUAAUGACUUCAAUAAACUCAUACAUAUUAAAAUUGAAGGUGACAUAAAACAGAAAGAGGACUUAGAGGACUAUAUCAGGACUUCCCAAUCACUCAUCAGCUAAGUAGGAUGAAUUGAAACUAAUAGGAUUAAUUUUAAUUGGAAAAAUAGAAAGCUCUGCCCUGGGGUUAAGGAAAGAACAGAAGAAAUGUAGGAUAGGAAAAGGAUAAAGAUAUUAAAUAAAUUUAGGCUUUAAAAAAUUAGGGAGGAAUGUUAACAUUGCUGAAGAUAAGCACUUAGAAGCUGGAAAUAUAAUACAUAACUUGCAAACAGGAGAAAAAAGAAUGGGAACUUUUUAAAUCAAGCAGAAAACCAGAAAGGAGAAAAGAAGAAAUGACGAAAGCAUAAACUAGAUGACAUACAUGAGCCCAAUUAUAUCAUUUUUAAGCUCACCUGUUAAAAUCCAGAAUAUCAAAUAGUAUUUAAAAAUAGCUAUACACUGUAUACAAGAAUAAUCCCCAAAUAACAUUGGAGAAUUUGUAAGUAAUGUAAAAGCAAAAGAAAUGUAGAAAAAAAAUCUUAGCAGAAAAUGUCUAAUACAGUAAUAUUUUUAUAAGACAAAGUAGAGUUUAAGAUGAAUACAAAUAAAUUAAUGCAUUUAUUAAUGUAAUUAGUAAAUAUAUUAAUAAAAGGAACUACCCCCAGGAGCAGAUAAUGCUCAUUAAAUUACGUACAGAAAUGUAGGAUAGAAGAGUUUGAUUUAAUGGCAGCUCAUAUGAAAAUGAUGAGGUUUUGCUUUCUUAAGUUUAAUAAUGGCCAAGGGGUUAACACAACUGCUUCCAAAAGUCUGGGAUAACAUUGAGAGUGUGCAGAACAGCUCAGAUUAAGACCCACUUUCUCUGCACUAUUGAAAUCUAUCUAGAGUGGAAUGAUCAGGUCUGGGUAUGUUAUCUUGAGACAAACAUUGUCAAACCGGGGAACCUCCAGCAGAGAUUGACCAGGAUGAAAACAGAAUGAAAAAAAAAAUUCCUAAGUAAUAGCUGAAGAACAGGAGCUAUCGUUCAAGAAAAGAGAAAAGUUUAAAGGAGCUUUUCAGCUAAAGUGGGCACUGCAGUGAGGGGUGGAGCCAGGACUGGAAUAGAGACUAUCUCACUACAGAGAGCAUUCCAGCCAUCUCAACUACUCUAUUCUACAUUUCCUCUCUACAAAAAAUAUCAGAAGAAAAUAAAUCAUUUUUCUAAUUUCAGCAUUUAAAAGAUAUUCCUAACCAUAACAUGAAGAUCACUGCCAUGAACAAAAAGAGGUCUUUUCUUAACAAGAUACAUAUUUGAAAUUUGGCAUAGAAAAAGAACACACCCUCACACCAUGCACAAAAAUAAACUCUAAAUGGCUGAAAGACUUAAGCAUAAGGCAAGACACCAUCAAAUGCCUGGAAGAGGACAUAGGCAAAAUAUUCUCUGAUAUUAACUUUACAAAUGUUUUCUCAGGUCAGUCUCCCAAAGCAACAGAAAUAAAAGCAAAAAUAAACCAUUGGGGCCUAAGCAAACUGACAAGCUUUUGCAUAGAAAAGGAAACCAUAAAAAAACAAAAAGACAACUUACAGAAUGGAAGAAGAUAGUUUCAAAUGAUGCAAUGGACAAGGGCCUAAAUCUCCAAAAUAUACAAACAACUUAUACAAUUCAACAGCAAAAAGGCCAACAACCAAUAGAAAAAUGGGCCAAAGACCUGAAUAGAUAUUUCUCCAAGGAAGAUAUACAGAUGGCCAACAAGCACUUAUUUUUAGCAAAUAAAAACUACCACUGGUGUGGAACAACCUCACAUCUGUCAGAACGGCCAUCAUUAAUAAGUCCACAAAUAACAAAUACUGGAGAGGGUAUGGAGUAAAGGGAACCCUCCUGCACUGUUGGUGGGAAUGUAAGAUGGUACAACCACUAUGGAGAACAGUAUGGAGGUACCUUAGAAAAUGAUACAUAGAACUACCAUAUGACCCAGCAAUCCCACUCUUGGGCAUAUAUCCAGACAAAACUUUCCUUGAAAAAGACACAUGCACCUAUAUAUGUUCAUUGCAGCACUAUUCACAAUAGCCAAGACAUGGAAACAACCCAAAUUUCCAUCAAUAGAUGAUUGGAUUAGGAAGAUAUGGUGUAUAUAUACACAAUGGAAUAGUACUCAGCCAUAAAAAAGAACAAAACCAUGCCAUUUGCAGCAGCCUGGAUGGAACUAGAGACUCUCAUCCUGCGUGAAGUAAGUCAGAAAAAGAAAGACAAAUACCAUAUGAUAUCCCUGACGUCUGGAAUCUAAUAUAUGGCACAAAUGAACCUUUCCACAGAAAAGAAAAUUAUGGACCUGCAGAAUAGACUUGUGGUUGCCAAGGGGGAAGGGGAGAGAGUGGGAUAGAUUGGGAGCUUGGGGUUAAUAGAUGCAAACUAUUGCUUUUGGAAUGGAUUAGCAAUGAGAUCCUGCUGUGUAGCACUGAGAUCCAUGUCUAGUCACUUAUGAUGGAGCAUGAUAAUGGGAGAAAAAAAGAAUGUAUACGUGUAUGUGUAACUGGGUCACCAUGCUGUACAGUAGAAAAAAAUAAAUAAAUAAACAGUAAAUUGCAAAUAUUACAUCUUCAACUCAGAAAUAAAAAAAAGAAAAAGAUACAAUACACAAAGAUUAGGUAAAGACACAAUAAACAACAGAGUUACAAUACAAAAUACAAGUGAAGACAAAGAGAAAUUAGAUUACUCACACAGGGUUAGUGAGACUGUAAGACAGUACAGUCACUUUGGAAAACCAUUCAGAAAUUUUCAAUAAAACUAAACAUUCAUUGAUCAUACAACCCAGAAAUCAUAUUCUUGGGACUUUACCCCAGAUAAAUGAAGACUUAUGUUCACAUAAAAACCUGUACAUGUACGUUCAUAGCAGCAUUAUUCAUAACAGCCAAACACAGGAUACAACCCAGAUGUCCUUCAAUAGGUAAAUACUUAAAGAAACCUUGAUACAUUCAGAUCACAGAACACCAAUCAGCAAUAAAAAGAACUAUUUAGACAAGCAACAACUUGGAUGAAUUUCUAAGAGAUUAUGCUGAGUUAAAAAAAUUAGUCCCAAAAGGUUAAUUAGUGUGUGAUUCCAUUGUAUACAACAUUUUUGAAAUGACGAAAGCUUAGAAAUGGAGACAACAUUAGUGGUUCCAGGGGCUGGUAGGAGGAGGAGGGCUCAGCAUUUAAAAAAAAAAAAAAAAAAAGGUGGAUAAGCUUAUAAAAGGGCAACAUGAGGGAUCCUGUAUUGAUGCUACUGUUAAGUAUCUUGACUGUGGUGGUGGAUACAUGAACCUACACAUGUGAUGAAAACUGUACAGAACUAUCAAAAAGACAGUAACAGGUGUCAGCCAGGAAAAACUGGAACCCUCAAACAUUGUUGGUAGGAAUAUAAAAUAGUAGAGCCACUUUGAAAAACAGUUGGGAAGUUCUUGGAAACAUUAAACAUGGAGUUACUAUAUGAUUCAGAGAUAUGUGCCAAAGAGAAAUAAAAACAUACAAGUCCACACAAACUUGCAAUCAAUGUUCUUAGCAGCAUUAAUUGUAAGAGUCCAAAAGCAGAAACAACCCAAAUGUUAUCAUCUGAUGAAUGAACAAAAUAAUGUGGUAUAUCCACACAAUGGAAUAUUAUUCUACAAUAAAAAGGAAUGAAGUAUGAAUACAUGCUACAAUGGGAAUGAAUCUUAACAAUGAUAUUCAUGCUAAAUGAAAUAAGACAAUCACAAAAGAUCACAUGUUAUAUUAAUCCAUUUACAUGAAAUGUCCAGAAUAGGAAGAUCCAUAGGGAAAGUAGAUUAGCAGUUACAUAGAGCUGGAGGGAUGGACAAGGAGUGACUGCUAAUGGGUAAGGUUUCUUUCAGGAGUGAUGAAAAUGUUCUAGAAUUAGAUAGCAGUGAAGGUUGCAAAGCUCCAUGAAAAUACUAAAACCACUGACCCAAAUACUCUGAUUUUUAAUAAAUUUUAUAGAACUAAAUACACACACUUUAGUGCAAGUAAAACUAGGGAAUGCUGGAUAGUACUGGACAGUAUUGGUGAAUUGUAUCAAUGUCAAUAUCUUACUUGUGAUGAUAUUAUACUACAAUCUUGCAAAAUGUUACCAUUGGGGGAAUGAUAAAACGUAUGCAAGAUUUCUCUGUAUUAUUUCUUCCAACUUCAUGUGAUUAUGGAAGCUUCUGAAAAACUUCACAAUAACCAUAUGCAGCAAAACUUCACAUUCACCUACAUACCCUUGCUCAUCAGCUCAUCAGUGCUUGAGGAGCAAUACUACUUUCCGCUCCUCCUUGUUUUACAAGAAGGUGUGAUGCUCUUGCCAACAGUCUAAAUUAGAACCCAGCUAGAAAAGGAUUCUGGGACAUGUUUUCCUAGGAUUCCAGCCCCUCUGAUAAAGGAAGAUCAUAGAAGAGAUCAGGGAUAAAGAUAGAUAGAGAGAGAGAGAGAGAGAGAGAGAGAGAGAUAGAUAGAUAGAUAGAUAGAUAGAUAGAUAGAUAGAUAGAUGAUAGAUAGAUAGAUAGAUAGAUAAAAAUAAUUAACAGAAAUAUAAAUUUAUAUCCGUUCAAAACACACAAUGUAAUGUUUAAAUAAAUCUGUGUUUGAAAUGAUACACAUAAUGUCUUAGCCUGUGUUCCCACAAAGUAACACCUACAACAAAGUUUGAUGUGUGGAUGGUUUAUUGGGGAAUAUGACCCCAGGAAGCAAGAAUGGAAGAGUAGGAGGGUUGAACAGCAGAGAAGGGAGAGAGUAAAU